AGCGUUGUCCGGAAUUAUUGGGCGUAAAGAGCUCGUAGGCGGUGUGUCGCGUCGGCCGUGAAAACCUGCAGCUUAACUGUGGGCGUGCGGUCGAUACGGGCAUCACUGGAGUUCGGCAGGGGAGACUGGAAUUCCUGGUGUAGCGGUGAAAUGCGCAGAUAUCAGGAGGAACACCGGUGGCGAAGGCGGGUCUCUGGGCCGAUACUGACGCUGAGGAGCGAAAGCGUGGGGAGCGAACAGG
rnacentral:rRNA from 1 species